rnacentral:misc_RNA from 1 species
ACGCCUUUCCGUGGUGAGCAAAUUCGCUGCCUAGAGUAGUGUGGUGCGAUUCAAGGUUUUGCAUGUUAGAGAUUGACAGGGAAGAAUGAAGCUUUGUGGUCCAUAUCAGUAAGGGGAGGUUGGUUUGUAUGCCAAUUUGUAAUCCGUUCUCGGCAUCAACACGUAAACUGUCACCAGAAGCUAUUGGUCCUCCAACUUCCUGGAGGCCAGUGGUGUCAGUGACACUAAAGAAUAAUACGAGCUGCUAGCGUGAAGAAGUAUAGUAAAGUUGGCUUAAGCCAACAUCGGUGGAAAAAACAAAAUGGCAACAAUAGAUGGCAGACCAACCCAAUAUGGUAUCAGUCUUAAGCAACUUCGUGAGCUCAUGGAGCUCCGAGGACGUGAAGGUGUCACUAAAGUCAAUAGCUAUGGUGGUGUGCAGGAGAUUUGUAAAAAAUUAUACACUUCACCUAGUGAAGGUCUCAGUGGAUCAGCAGCUGAUAUUCAACAUAGACGGGAUACAUUUGGUUCCAACCUAAUACCUCCAAAACCACCAAAAACAUUUCUACAAUUAGUAUGGGAAGCUCUUCAAGAUGUUACAUUAAUUAUCUUGGAAGUAGCAGCAUUGGUUUCAUUAGGUCUUAGCUUUUAUCACCCAGCAGAUGAUGAAGAAAAACCUUUAAUAGAUGAAGAUGAAGCAAAAUAUGGUUGGAUAGAAGGAGCUGCUAUAUUUAUUUCUGUGAUCUUGGUGGUAAUAGUAACAGCUUCCAAUGAUUACUCUAAGGAAAAACAAUUUAGGGGCCUCCAAAGUCGUAUAGAGGGGGAACAUAAAUUUUCUGUCAUUAGACAAGGAGAGGUCAAACAGAUUUCUGUAGCUGACAUUGUUGUUGGUGAUAUAUGUCAGAUAAAAUAUGGAGAUCUGCUGCCAGCAGAUGGUAUCCUUAUACAAAGCAACGAUCUCAAAGUGGAUGAGUCCAGUUUAACCGGAGAGUCAGACCAUGUUAAAAAAGGAGAAUCGUUCGAUCCCAUGGUACUCUCAGGUACGCAUGUGAUGGAGGGUUCUGGAAAAAUGUUAGUUACUGCAGUAGGCGUUAACUCGCAGGCUGGUAUUAUCUUUACUUUGUUGGGUGCUGCUGUUGAUCAACAAGAACAAGAAAUCAAGAAAAUGAAGAAAGAGGCUAAGAAGCAGCGGAAGAAGAAGUCAUUAACAGACGAAGAAAUAACUGGGAACAGCCAUGUGAGCGCAGCCAAGCCCGAACCUGGGGAGAACCAUCAUGCAGUUAGCCACGCAGCUGAAGGGAAGAAGGAGAAGAGUGUUUUACAAGCCAAGCUAACUAAACUCGCCAUACAAAUCGGUUACGCCGGCUCGACCAUAGCAGUGCUUACCGUUAUCAUUCUAGUCAUUCAGUUCUGCGUUACCACAUUUUACGUGCAGGGAAAAAGUUGGAAAAACACGUACGCUGGUGAUCUGGUGCGGCAUUUGAUCAUUGGUGUAACGGUACUUGUAGUUGCCGUUCCCGAAGGUCUUCCUCUAGCUGUUACCCUCUCCCUCGCUUAUUCCGUUAAGAAAAUGAUGAAAGACAACAACUUGGUGCGUCAUUUGGAUGCUUGUGAAACGAUGGGUAACGCGACGGCCAUCUGUUCGGACAAGACUGGUACCCUGACAACCAACCGAAUGACCGUUGUUCAAUCGUACAUAUGCGAAAAGAUGAGUAAAAUAACCCCGCAGUUUUCGGAUAUCCCGUCGCAUGUCGGAAACUUAAUGGUUCAAGCUAUUUCUAUUAAUUCGGCGUACACAUCCAGAAUAAUGCCUGCGCAGGAACCUACAGAUUUGCCGCUUCAAGUCGGCAAUAAAACCGAAUGUGCCUUACUUGGAUUUGUAAUAGCCCUGGGCAUGAACUAUCAGACGAUACGAGACGAUCAACCUGAGGAAACUUUCACGCGUGUGUACACGUUCAAUAGCGUUAGGAAGAGUAUGUCCACCGCCAUCCCGAGGAAAGGUGGUGGAUACAGGCUCUUUACCAAGGGCGCUUCCGAGAUCAUCAUGAAGAAAUGUGCCUUUAUAUAUGGUCGUGAAGGUCAUUUGGAAAAAUUUACCAAAGAGAUGCAAGAGCGUCUGGUAAAGAACGUGAUCGAGCCGAUGGCGUGUGAUGGUCUCCGUACUAUCUGCAUCGCGUAUCGCGAUUUCGUUCCUGGAAAAGCAGAGAUUAAUCAGGUUCAUAUCGACAACGAGCCGAAUUGGGAUGACGAGGAAAAUGUUGUGAACAAUCUCACGUGUUUGUGCAUUGUGGGUAUCGAGGACCCGGUACGGCCUGAGGUGCCGGAAGCGAUCAGGAAGUGUCAAAAAGCAGGCAUCACUGUGCGAAUGGUGACUGGAGACAAUAUAAAUACUGCGCGUUCCAUUGCUUUGAAAUGUGGAAUUUUGAAACCAAACGAAGAUUUCCUGAUCCUCGAAGGCAAAGAGUUCAAUAGGAGGAUUCGCGAUAGCAGUGGCGAAGUACAGCAACAUUUGUUGGACAAAGUGUGGCCGAGGUUGAGGGUGUUGGCUAGAUCGUCACCUACAGACAAGUAUACACUCGUAAAAGGCAUAAUCGAUAGCAAAGCGAGCGCGAGUCGCGAAGUUGUUGCUGUAACUGGUGAUGGAACGAACGACGGUCCUGCUUUGAAAAAGGCGGAUGUCGGUUUUGCCAUGGGUAUCGCUGGCACCGACGUCGCCAAGGAAGCUUCCGAUAUCAUCUUGACGGAUGAUAAUUUUUCGUCGAUCGUGAAGGCAGUUAUGUGGGGUAGAAACGUCUACGAUAGUAUAGCAAAGUUCUUGCAGUUUCAAUUGACCGUCAAUAUCGUCGCUGUUAUAGUUGCUUUUAUCGGGGCAUGUGCCGUGCAAGAUUCCCCUCUUAAAGCGGUGCAGAUGUUGUGGGUGAACUUAAUCAUGGACACAUUAGCAUCUCUUGCAUUGGCCACCGAAAUGCCUACGCCUGAUCUUCUUCUUCGUAAACCCUACGGUCGCACGAAACCGCUUAUUUCCAGGACAAUGAUGAAGAACAUUCUUGGCCAAGCUAUCUAUCAGUUGACUGUAAUUUUUAUGCUUCUUUUCGUUGGUGAUAAGAUGCUCGACAUCGAAACAGGCCGAGGAGUUGCGCAGGCUGGCGGCGGUCCAACGCAACACUUUACUAUUAUCUUUAAUACAUUCGUCAUGAUGACACUUUUCAACGAAUUUAAUGCUAGAAAAAUCCAUGGUCAGCGUAAUGUCUUCCAAGGAAUAUUCACCAAUCCCAUCUUUUACACUAUCUGGAUCAUGACAUGUCUAUCGCAGGUAGUUAUCAUACAAUAUGGUAAAAUGGCGUUCAGCACGAAAGCUCUCACAUUAGAACAAUGGAUGUGGUGCCUAUUCUUCGGAGUUGGUACUCUAUUGUGGGGCCAAGUAAUUACAACUAUUCCUACGCGCAAGAUUCCUAAAAUCCUUUCAUGGGGCCGCGGCCAGCCGGAUGAUAUCAGUGCGAUCAAUCUAGGAGAUGAGAAAUUCGACCCUGACUCGGAUAAAAAGCCGCGCGCAGGACAAAUUCUAUGGAUCCGUGGUCUAACACGACUACAGACACAGACGAGCAAAAGAACUCUGGUGCAGAAUGUAUCUGUGACAGGCAGAUCCCCCUCUCAGGAUUACUAUAUGCCAGCGGAACCCAUUCGGGAGACUGAGGUAUAACGGGGCGGCAGUCUUGCCCGCCGCCACACUUAUCCUGUCGGAGUACAAACAACUUCGAGUAAUCAGAGCGUUCAAGUCGACUCUAGAAGAUUUGGAGGAGCGUCGCUCUGUCCAUAGUUUACACAGCUUACACAGUAUGCGCAGUUCACGCAGCCACACUGGGC